GUAGGUCACAGGCAUUCACUCCAGCUGCACGCUUUGCCUCCAGUGGUUCAGUCCACAAGUGAAAGUCUGCACAUGUGUCCAACACAUAGCUGUGGAGUGCAGACAGAUGCUUUUCCAGCAGGCAGUUAGCUUUCUAUGUAUCUAGGGAAUAACACUUAUAUGCACUUAGUGGUUUCUGUUGCAUGAGAUUCCAAUUGGGCACCUGAAUAAUGUUUCUGGCACAUGCCCUGUAACCCCAGUUGUACACUGAGAAUGUAGUGAAUCAUAGUCAAUAAGCAUCUAAAAGGCCUUUUCAUUUGGCUCUUAAGCUUCCUGAAAUUGUUUUCUAUUAAAUAAGGUCAUUCUAAUUUUUAAAUUAUCUUUAAUUUAUUGGAACAGGAGACUUGCAGGCAAGGGAGGCCCUUUUUUGCCCUCUCUACCUCCCUCAAGCCCAGCUGCAGAGUAUGACUUAGGGAGGUGUAAGGAUGGGGGAAUGGAAGGGAACUGCCAAAGCAGUCUCUGCUCCAGAUUUUCAGUAGCUGGUUUGCUGAGCCUUUGUCAGUCAUGAAAAAUGACUCACAGCUGUUCCAUGCACAGAUGUGUGGUGAUUGAAUUAAGGACUGAUAUUUGAGGUGGGUCUUAAAAGAAACAUAACUUGAAGGCAUCUCAGCAGCUUGGAGUGUCAAGUCUCACUUUAGCUUUGCCUGUCAGAUUCCGCCAGUUUUGGCAAAAAUAUGUGUUGGAAGUAGAUAGGAAUUAAGAGGUGGUGGGGAGCAUCCAGUGUUCAUUAAAAAAAACGAACAAACAAACAAAAAAAAAACAUUCCUCCCUGAUAAUGGGAAUGUAGGGAUCUUAGUGUUUUAAGUUUUCAAGAGCAUCAGAUGGUGGAAUUGACUGGACCUUUUAUCAGAGCUGUGAGGAUGGAAAGUAACUGAUUCCAAGUUAGAGCAAUCACUUUUUAAGAAUUAUGUUAAAUCCAUUGCUCCUUAUGGAAAUAGGCCUUUCUUAGAUCAGGGUUCUCACAUUUAAACAAGCUAAAAACUGAAUCUACUCUCUAAACCCUCUGAUCACCAUAAUGAUAAAAAGCUGAGCUGCCUGGUGUCCAUAGUCAAGGGAGUCAUUCAUCUGAAACAUUGUCAGGCUGCUCCAAAGGGACUAACCAGACCAGUGUCUAACACACAUAAUAUUACUGACUUCCCGUAUGGAGAAUCCAUUCAUUAGGAAAAAUUAACGGGAAGGAAGAUGCAUGAGUUUCAUGCCUUUUCCAUAAGGAAAAGAUUGCUUCUGCCCCAAAUUAAACAAGAUAAGGUGUGAUAUUUUUAUUUUCAAAAACAAUGGUAGGAGAUUUCCCAUCUAAAAACCCUAGGCUAGAUGCCUUCUAGCAUGUUGUCAUCUAGAACUUGGUUCAAUUCAAGGUUAAUUUUUAAGACUUAGGAUUUUCAUUCACUUCCAACUCCAUUUGAGGUACGAGUGCCUUGUUUGCUUGCUUAAUAUAUUUUGUAUUGUUCACUAGUUCCUCAGUUUGAUAUUUGCAAUUUAUUUAUAAUGCAAAGAAUAUGACAUGGGUAAUUCAGCUGGAUUGUAUAUUUGUAGCCUGCUCCCAGAAUGUCUUAUUUUGUAAUGACUGAACUAAAUCUAGUAAUAGUUAAACAUGUAUAUGGUUAAUAUAUAUGGAAAUACAAUAUAUUUUAUAGUUAAAGUAUUCUAAAGUAAUUGAUGUUUCUAGCAAAUUGUAGUGAUUUAAGGCUAAUGAAAUGUUUCUUUUG
ensembl:lncRNA